ACCUGGCAUAGCUCAAUUGGCAGAGCAUGAGACUCUUAAUCUCAGGGGUCAUGGGUUUGAGCCCCAUGUUGGGCA
rnacentral:tRNA from 1 species